GGAUGAACUCUCCGCAGCUCUCCGGCAGUCUGCAAAGAGACGGGAGAAGUAUCGCUCGCUGAUAAUAUGAGGGGUUCGGAAGGAGUCUCUAGCGAAGAUUUCUUGUGAUUGCGCACAGGAAGCGGAGAUGUCCUUCAACGAGAUCAUCUGGGAUAUCAUCCAAAAUGAUUUCCCUCAAUUCUCCUCACUGCAGAUCUGGCUUGGAUGCCUAUUGGUCGCUAUAAUAUUCACAAACUGCAUUCUGGCCUUGAUUUUAUGGAAGAAGUAUGGUCGAAUGAUUUCGGAGAGAUUCAUGAACCCAGCCACGAACAGAUCAUUGGAAGAGUUCAAGAAGGAGUUCAUCCUGCUCAAGUUACCCAUUCAGCACAGUCCCCGCAUUUGAUCUGCUCGGUCGAUAUAUUUUCAUCACUGAUCCGAUCUCGCCGGACUCACGUAACUUACGCUUCGACUCGUUAACUAAAAAUGACGACAAUCUGUCGGUCGUUCUCCCGUCCCGCCUUCGAGGUAUACGCGCAGACAGAGACGGCGUUCUCCGCAAGUAUAUUAGUACUCUGUUUAUUUAUUUAUUGAUCGUUCGACAUGGCCUCAGCAUGCAGCAUUUCAUAAGUGAAUGGAUGUACAGUUGGAAUAAUAAAAGAUCAAAUGAU